UACGAAGGGGGCUAGCGUUGCUCGGAAUCACUGGGCGUAAAGGGUGCGUAGGCGGGGUUUUAAGUCAGGGGUGAAAUCCUGGAGCUCAACUCCAGAACUGCCUUUGAUACUGAAGAUCUUGAGUCCGGGAGAGGUGAGUGGAACUGCGAGUGUAGAGGUGAAAUUCGUAGAUAUUCGCAAGAACACCAGUGGCGAAGGCGGCUCACUGGCCCGGUACUGACGCUGAGGCACGAAAGCGUGGGGAGCAAACAGG
rnacentral:rRNA from 1 species